rnacentral:rRNA from 1 species
UCCUACGGGAGGCAGCAGUGGGGAAUAUUGCACAAUGGGGGAAACCCUGAUGCAGCGACGCCGCGUGAGCGAUGAAGUAUCUCGGUAUGUAAAGCUCUAUCAGCAGGGAAGAAAGUGACAGUACCUGACUAAGAAGCCCCGGCUAACUACGUGCCAGCAGCCGCGGUAAUACGUAGGGGGCAAGCGUUAUCCGGAUUCACCGGGCGUAAAGGGAGCGCAGGCGGCAUGGCAAGUCUGAUGUGAAAACCCGGGGCCCAACCCCGGGAGUGCAUUGGAAACUGCCAGGCUGGAGUGUCGGAGGGGAA